UACGAAGGGGGCUAGCGUUGCUCGGAAUCACUGGGCGUAAAGCGCACGUAGGCGGAUUGCUAAGUCAGGGGUGAAAUCCUGGAGCUCAACUCCAGAACUGCCUUUGAUACUGGCGAUCUUGAGUCCGGGAGAGGUGAGUGGAACUGCGAGUGUAGAGGUGAAAUGCGCAGAUAUCAGGAAGAACACCAAUGGCGAAAAGCAGCUCUCUGGGACGGUACUGGACGCUGAGACGCGAAAGCGUGGGGAGCGAACAGG
rnacentral:rRNA from 1 species